rnacentral:lncRNA from 1 species
UAGGCGAAGGGUGUAACAGAUAGAUAGCGAUGUUUGUAACCGUCUGGUAGUGGGCCGUUCAGGGCCAUAAGGAGUUUGUUGUGGAGAGUAGUGGUGUCAGGGGCUAUUCAGAGCCACGUGGAGCUUAUCGCGGGGAGUGGAGUGGUGUCAGUUGUCAUGAAUUUCCAGAGAGUGAUGGAGCCAUGUGGAAUCCAUUGCAGGGAGUGGAGC